rnacentral:rRNA from 1 species
UACGUAGGGCGCAAGCGUUGUCCGGAAUUAUUGGGCGUAAAGAGCUCGUAGGCGGCCUGUUGCGUCCGCUGUGAAAUCCCGGGGCUCAACCCCGGGCCUGCAGUGGAUACGGGCUGGCUGGAGGCAGGCAGGGGAGAACGGAAUUCCUGGUGUAGCGGUGAAAUGCGCAGAUAUCAGGAGGAACACCGGUGGCGAAGGCGGUUCUCUGGGCCUGUUCUGACGCUGAGGAGCGAAAGCGUGGGGGGCAAACAGG